AAAAAACACUAAAAUGUUGGAAAAAAUUCCGAAGACAUCUAUCAUCGCACCUGCUUAGGUGUUUGCUUUUCUUGAACCAGUGGACUGUACCAUAUUAUUCGGGGAGAAAAUUGGAUCCAAAGAUAAAGAAUAUCCGUACGAAACCGGAUCACAUUUUGCCUGAGUAUAUAUAUUGACGAAAAUAAUCAAAAAUGAGGCAACUAAAGUACUUACUUUUCAAACAAUUUCAACACAGGGUAAUCGAGAUCGAGCUGUGAAUCCUUCACAACUUCCUAUAACAGUUGAGGUGGAAACGUGGAAUAUUAUUCUAAAAUGAAUCGAGCCGAUUGUUGAAAAAUGCAGGCUGAUUCUAAUGUACGUGCAAAGUUGAUUCAAGAAGAUAGGUAAGUAAGUAAGUUCCUUUCA